GUGCUCACAGCAAUAGGAUAUAUACUAAAAUUGGAAGGAUGCAGAGAUUAGCAUGGCCCCCGAGCAAGGAUGACAUGCAAAUUCGUGAAGCGCUCCAUUUUUGA